UACGUAGGGGGCGAGCGUUGUCCGAAGUUACUGGGCGUAAAGCGCGCGUAGGCGGUCCUUUAAGUCCGGGGUGAAAGGUUCAGCGCUCAACGUGAACAGUGCCCUGGAGACUGGGGGACUUGAGUGUGGGAGGGGGCAGUGGAAUUCCUGGUGUAGCGGUGAAAUGCGUAGAUAUCGGGAGGAACACCUGUGGCGAAAGCGGCGCACUGGACCACAACUGACGCUGAGGCGCGAAAGCUAGGGGAGCAAACAGG
rnacentral:rRNA from 1 species